CGCACUCGGCCGAUCGGGACUGGUACUCGGACAAUGAGAUGCCGCCAGAGGCUCUGAGCCAGGGCUGCAAGGACAUCGCCUAUCAGCUAAUGCACAACAUCAAGGACAUCGAUGUGAUCAUGGGUGGCGGCCGGAAGUACAUGUACCCCAAGAACAGAACUGAUGUGGAAUAUGAACUGGAUGAGAAGGCCAGGGGCACCAGACUGGAUGGCCUGGACCUCAUCAGCAUUUGGAAGAGCUUCAAACCUAGACACAAGCACCUUAUUUUUCUACCAAAUAUACUCUCCAGACCCUGCAACCAUCAUGGAACAUUCCAGAUCUGACCUUCUCUCCCCUACCCCUUCUCUCUGGAACACUGGGUCCCAUAGUCACAGCCAGUCCCUCAACCCAACCCUCCCUGGAGGGAAGACCAGGUCUGCUCAGGGUGAGACUCCCAGGAAGCCACCUCCGGGGUUGGCUGUCUACCCAGGGUGGCCAGGCUGGGAAGAACAACCCAGCCGGACAGGACGCACACACUCCCCACCCAGCUCCAGAGACUCGCCAACCCUUCACUGAAGCGACUCCCCUGUUUGGAAUAGCAAAAAAAAAAAAGAAAGAAAAAAAAGAAAA
rnacentral:lncRNA from 1 species